rnacentral:lncRNA from 1 species
UUUUUCUAGUGGAUAAUGAGUGCAUCUACUCUGCUCCACUUAAAUGCCAUGCUUUUGUCCGUGAUAGAGUUUGGACUCGUGACGCGUGCCUAAGCUGCACAUCACUCAUUUUGUUCUCACCACUAGACUAAAACUCCAAGGGCUCAAUUGCUAUUUGGCUUUCACUAAAAAUAUUUGUGGAUUUUGGUCACUGUCACGAGGAGCCAUCACAUAAACAAACUUAAGUCAAUCAUGUCGCUUGCAAAUGGCCUUAUGCUUAUUGAGUAUGCUCGUUUUCCUUUGAAUUUUAAUUUCAACAAUUAAUCUUAUCUGGUAUUUCCUCUGAUUCAGGUGAACUUAUAUGACUUCUAAAUUGCACUGAUUUGCACUAACCUUCAUAACUUUGUUCCUGCAGCAAAGGGAGAGAAAGAUGCACUAUAUGAAGUACAUCUAAUUUCCAACACAACAUUAUAGAUUGUG